rnacentral:rRNA from 1 species
GACGAACUCUGGCGGCGCGCCUAACACAUGCAAGUCGAACGAGCGAGAGAGAGCUUGCUUUCUCGAGCGAGUGGCGAACGGGUGAGUAACGCGUGAGGAACCUGCCUCAAAGAGGGGGACAACAGUUGGAAACGACUGCUAAUACCGCAUACGCCCACGGUGCCGCAUGGCACAGAGGGAAAAGGAGCAAUCCGCUUUGAGAUGGCCUCGCGUCCGAUUAGCUAGUUGGUGAGGUAACGGCCCACCAAGGCGACGAUCGGUAGCCGGACUGAGAGGUUGAACGGCCACAUUGGGACUGAGACACGGCCCAGACUCCUACGGGAGGCAGCAGUGGGGAAUAUUGCACAAUGGGGGGAACCCUGAUGCAGCGACGCCGCGUGGAGGAAGAAGGUCUUCGGAUUGUAAACUCCUGUUGUUGGGGAAGAUAAUGACGGUACCCAACAAGGAAGUGACGGCUAACUACGUGCCAGCAGCCGCGGUAAAACGUAGGUCACAAGCGUUGUCCGGAAUUACUGGGUGUAAAGGGAGCGCAGGCGGGAAGACAAGUUGGAAGUGAAAUCUAUGGGCUCAACCCAUAAACUGCUUUCAAAACUGUUUUUCUUGAGUAGUGCAGAGGUAGGCGGAAUUCCCGGUGUAGCGGUGGAAUGCGUAGAUAUCGGGAGGAACACCAGUGGCGAAGGCGGCCUACUGGGCACCAACUGACGCUGAGGCUCGAAAGUGUGGGUAGCAAACAGGAUUAGAUACCCUGGUAGUCCACACCGUAAACGAUGAUUACUAGGUGUUGGAGGAUUGACCCCUUCAGUGCCGCAGUUAACACAAUAAGUAAUCCACCUGGGGAGUACGACCGCAAGGUUGAAACUCAAAGGAAUUGACGGGGGCCCGCACAAGCAGUGGAGUAUGUGGUUUAAUUCGACGCAACGCGAAGAACCUUACCAAGUCUUGACAUCCCUUGACAGACAUAGAAAUAUGUAAUCUCUUCGGAGCAAGGAGACAGGUGGUGCAUGGUUGUCGUCAGCUCGUGUCGUGAGAUGUUGGGUUAAGUCCCGCAACGAGCGCAACCCUUAUGGUCAGUUACUACGCAAGAGGACUCUGGCCAGACUGCCGUUGACAAAACGGAGGAAGGUGGGGAUGACGUCAAAUCAUCAUGCCCUUUAUGACUUGGGCUACACACGUACUACAAUGGCGUUAAACAAAGAGAAGCAAGACCGCGAGGUGGAGCAAAACUCAGAAACAACGUCCCAGUUCGGACUGCAGGCUGCAACUCGCCUGCACGAAGUCGGAAUUGCUAGUAAUCGUGGAUCAGCAUGCCACGGUGAAUACGUUCCCGGGCCUUGUACA